rnacentral:rRNA from 1 species
GAUCAUGGCUCAGAACGAACGCUGGCGGCAGGCUUAACACAUGCAAGUCGAGCGCCCCGCAAGGGGAGCGGCAGACGGGUGAGUAACGCGUGGGAAUCUACCUUUUGCUACGGAACAACAGUUGGAAACGACUGCUAAUACCGUAUGUGCCCUUCGGGGGAAAGAUUUAUCGGCAAAGGAUGAGCCCGCGUUGGAUUAGCUAGUCGGUGAGGUAAAGGCUCACCAAGGCGACGAUCCAUAGCUGGU